rnacentral:rRNA from 1 species
UACGUAGGGUGCAAGCGUUGUCCGGAAUUAUUGGGCGUAAAGAGCUCGUAGGCGGUUUGUCGCGUCUGCUGUGAAAACUCGGGGCUUAACCCCGGGCCUGCAGUGGGUACGGGCAGACUAGAGUGCGGUAGGGGAGACUGGAAUUCCUGGUGUAGCGGUGAAAUGCGCAGAUAUCAGGAGGAACACCGGUGGCGAAGGCGGAUCUCUGGGCAUUAACUGACGCUGAGGAGCGAAAGCAUGGGGAGCGAACAGG